UCGUCUGCACGCUUGCCAGGCGACUCUCUCUCGCACCGCUCGCUCUCAACGCACAUCUGCUACUUGCAGGAGCUCUCCUUCUCUCUCUCUCACACACGCAUGCACACACACACACACACACGAGCGAGUUGCCUCAGCUCUCGCCGGCACAGCCUGCAUCCCUACCUGGCGGCGCGUCGAGGGGAACUAACUAGCCAGUUGAGGGAGAACCGCAGCUGAAAGGGAGCGUUUUCGGACACCCCGGGAGAGAGAUGUUUUCCUUAGCUACUCCAGCAGACAGGAAUCUACUAGUAGAGAAGAAAGCCUCGGUAUCCCCCAGGACAACAGUACAAAGCCCAGUUUGCACGCAGCAGAUGCAAAAGCAAGUCCAUCUGCUACCAGCUCACAACACCACAUGGACAUGGGAGGUUUAAUCCUAGGCUUCGUCUGGCUGGCCAUGUUUGUGUAGACACCACUGAAACAAGACGAGGGGAGGCUGAUGUGGAGAAAAGGGUUGGUACAACUCACACAGGCUCCCCCAAACCAGAAACACACGUGUCCCCACAAGUGUGUGUGCUAGUGUGUGUGUGUGUGUGUGUGCGUGUGUGUGCGCGCGCGCGCGCACAGGCCUAAGUGCGUGUGUGUUUAAGUCUGGUGGACGAAUGUGUACUCAUGAAAUUCAAGAAACUCUCCUUACAGCAUAAACAAAGAUAAACAGAUACAAAUUCACGUGCGCGCGUGCAAACAUGCACGCAUAGACAGUGAGAGUAUGCAGAGCAAGAACUUUCAUGUUCCGAGAGAUGCACCCAAGGCAGUCAUGACAGAUUUAUUUAGUAAAAGAUCCAGUCUCUAACUCGGGGUAUAAGACCACUUGAACUCACAGCCCGGAACAGUGCGUUGGCAUGAUUUAACAGGCUCUGAACAGCACAUUAUAUACCAGCCAGCAGAUUUUAGCUGUAUGAUAUCAUUAUUAAAACAGCAACAGCGGCCAAAAAGAUUUUGCAUUUUCAUUUUGCCUUCACUGUCUGACGCAGCGCGGUAAACACUUAACAAGAUCAAAGGGGAGUUUGUGCCUGAGAAACAGCUAGCUACACACAACCGUCUCAACGCUCUAAAUUGCUCUAAGCGCAAACAUUAGGCCGAGCAAUUACACCCAUUUUACUUACAACACGUCGAGCCACGUGGCUCCGACGCUCCUUCAACACCCCAUAAACCACUUGGAGGGCCAUCCUUAAUAAAAAGACAAAACACAAGACAGUCCUCUGGGCGUUGAAAAGCCACCCAGCCACCCUCCUUGACAUUGUCAGCCAGAGAACAACAAGACAUUGUGCAUCACCAACACUUCACUGUGUGUUUUCGGCCUGUAUUUUCUUCCGGGCCUUCACACCACCAAGGUCAACAAGGACAAACAUCGCCACCAGCGUCUCUUCACCGUGGCAGAAGAAGAGACGUGGGUAGCAGGGGGGUAGAGAGGAGGGUCGUGCCGGGCUGGGGGAUGGUAAUAACUACGGCAGUUGCAGUGGUGGUGUAGGUUUCUAUCUCGGAGCGAUGGCAUCAUUUCCAUAGCAACCCUCUAACUAUUAAUUUUCAAUUAAAGCAGACACAAAGCUCGUUGCCCGGGGCCAUCAGACAGUGUCAAGAGCCUCAUCUCUACGUUCCACACUUCCACGCUGGAGACUGAGACCAUGGCCGCUGCCACCACCGCCAUCACCACUAGCGCCAUUGGGCUAGUCAAUCUCACAGGCAGCUGCCUGGGCUCAGGGCUGACACAGAGAUACCCAAAGCCUAUUUCACCUCACCCACCAUUAGAAUGAUUUAUUAUGGCCAAAACACUUCAAUGCUGAAACAAAUGUAUAUUAAGAGGAAGGGGAAAACACUGGUGUGGAACUGCCACUUAGAGGUGCUGCGUUUGAAAAAUGCAUUAAAAAGGGGCCCAGCGAUGGAAUGUGUCUGGAGUAGAGAGAGAGUGAGAGAGAGAGAGAGAGAGAGAGAGAGA